UACGUAGGGCGCAAGCGUUGUCCGGAAUUAUUGGGCGUAAAGAGCUCGUAGGCGGUUUGUCGCGUCUGCUGUGAAAACCUAAGGCUCAACCUUGGGCUUGCAGUGGGUACGGGCAGACUAGAGUGCGGUAGGGGUGACUGGAAUUCCUGGUGUAGCGGUGGAAUGCGCAGAUAUCGGAAGGAACGCCGGUGGCGAAAGCGGUGUGCUGGACCCCUUCUGACGGCUGAGGCGCGAAAGCCAGGGGAGCGAACGGG
rnacentral:rRNA from 1 species